CACAGAACAAAUACAGCAUGGGCAGAGGCAAUUAGAAGCUUCCCUACAUUGCCCUGCUGAUAAGCCAUCAACCCUGACCUGGAGGGACCCACUUGUAGA
rnacentral:sRNA from 1 species